CCUACGGGAGGCAGCAGUGAGGAAUAUUGGGCAAUGGACGAGAGUCUGAACCAGCCAAGUAGCGUGAAGGAUGACGGCCCGAUGGGUGGUAAACUGCGUUUAUAUGGGAAUAAAAUGUUCCACGUGUGGGAUUUUGUAUGUACCAUAUGAAUAAGGAUCGGCUAACUCCGUGCCAGCAGCCGCGGUAAUACGGAGGGUCCGAGCGUUAUCCGGAUUUAUUGGGUUUAAAGGGAGCGUAGGUGGAUUGUUAAGUCAGUUGUGAAAGUUUGCGGCUCAACCGUAAAAUUGCAGUUGAAACUGGCAGUCUUGAGUACAGUAGAGGUGGGCGGAAUUCGUGGUGUAGCGGUGAAAUGCUUAGAUAUCACGAAGAACUCCGAUUGCGAAGGCAGCUCACUGGACUGCAACUGACACUGAGGCUCGAAAGUGUGGGUAUCAAACAGGAUUAGAUACCCCAGUAGUC
rnacentral:rRNA from 1 species